UAGAUCUUUGGUAUGUACUUCCAAUGUGGUC
rnacentral:piRNA from 1 species